GAUGAACGCUGGCGGCGUGCCUAAUACAUGCAAGUCGAGCGAACAGACGAGGAGCUUGCUCCUCUGACGUUAGCGGCGGACGGGUGAGUAACACGUGGAUAACCUACCUAUAAGACUGGGAUAACUUCGGGAAACCGGAGCUAAUACCGGAUAAUAUAUUGAACCGCAUGGUUCAAUAGUGAAAGACGGUUUUGCUGUCACUUAUAGAUGGAUCCGCGCCGCAUUAGCUAGUUGGUAAGGUAACGGCUUACCAAGGCAACGAUGCGUAGCCGACCUGAGAGGGGGGAUGGGCCCACGUGAAAUUGAAAACGGGUCCAGACCCGUCGGGGGGCAAGAGGUGGGGAAUCUCCCGAAAGGGGCGAAAGCCUGAGGGAGCAACGCGGGGUGGGGGGUAAAGGUUUUGGGAUCGAAAAACCUUGUUAUUAGGGAAAAAAAAAUGUGUAAGUAACGAUGCCAGUUUUGGGGGUACUUAAGCAGAAAGCCCCGCCAAAUUACGG
rnacentral:rRNA from 1 species